rnacentral:rRNA from 1 species
UACGGAGGGUGCAAGCGUUAAUCGGAAUUACUGGGCGUAAAGCGUGCGCAGGCGGUUUGUUAAGUCUGUUGUGAAAUCCCCGAGCUCAACUUGGGAAUUGCAAUGGAUACUGGCAGGCUGGAGUAUGGUAGAGGAAGGUGGAAUUCCCGGUGUAGCAGUGAAAUGCGUAGAGAUCGGGAGGAACACCAGUGGCGAAGGCGGCCUUCUGGGCUGUUGCUGACGCUGAGGCGCGACAGCGUGGGGAGCAAACAGG